CCACCAUAAACUGCGUGUCCUCAUCUCCAGAAGCCAUCUCAGUCUCUCCGGUCACUCGCUCUAAUCCCCGGAAACUCUUUGUCAAGAGAGAGAUCCGUGGGAUUCUCUUGUUGGUGGAAGGAUUUCUUAGAUUCCCUUGUUGGGUAUUCGUCUUCAUAUUCUUUUUUCACGAUCGCUUUCGGGUUUGAAGAUUCGGGCGGCUCCUUCAAAUGGAUUCUUCUCUCGAGGACAUUGAAUGCUGAAAGCACCUUCAUCAACCCAAGUCAUGGAGCAGUUGCGGGGUGAAUUUCAAGAAUUUAAGAAUAAGAUGUGGCAGUUCGUGCAAGGUCAGAUAUCAUCGCCACCAUUAGUCGGUCACCAGGGAUACUCCACCUAGAAUCCAAGUGCCGACAAUAGCUGAUGACUAUCUGACGAUCAUUAAAGAACUUCCAGCCAUGGAUACUCCACGGUUCGAAGGGUCCCUAAUCCCGGAGAUUGCUGAGGAAUGGUUGGUGCAGAUCUCCCGUGAUUUGGAAUACUUGCGUUGCCCUCUACAGUAUCGCAGUGAGAUCGCGAGCCACCAUCUUUCUGGACAGACUCGCCACUGGUGGAACGGAGUUAUACGAGAGAUGCCUGCUAGACAUCAAGUCUCCAAGGAUGAAUUUGGAACAGAGUUUGAGCAAAAGUAUUACAGGAAUCUUCAGGAUGACCGACGUAUGGAAUUUAUACAUCUCCAGCAAGAUAAUAUGACGGUUCGGGAAUAUGAAGCGGAAUUCAGUCGCUUGCUGAUCUAUAGUGCUCAUUUGGUUCCUACUGAAGCAUUAAAGAUACAGAAGUUUAUUGUUGGUCUGCGACCAUAUCUUCGAAGGAAGAUCGAGAUACAUGAAUAUCCUACCUUGAAUCGCUACAUCAGCCAAUUGGAGAAGGUGGAAUAAAGUGAGAAGGAGAAGAAAGAAGAACUCAGGGUUCGAGAAAGGAGCCUUGUCCGCCAUUUUUCGACCACCAGGUCACUUGCUUGGACCGGUCAAAUCAAUCAGAGUCGGGACAAAGGGAAGACACCGAUUUUCCGAGCACUACCGCCACUGCCAUCAAGGAAACCAUAUGAUCGACGCCGUCGAUUCCAUUUCAGGAAGUGUGAGGUACCAUUUACUUGUUAUCGAUGCGGUAAGUCGGACCAUUUUGCAGUAAACUGUAGAGAGAUCAUUGUAGGGCGACCAGAUGAUGGGCCUAUCCAUCCACCACUAGCGAAUAAUUCGAGAAUUGCACCUCGAGUUUAUGCAUUUACAGAUGGGAUAGAGGUAUCAGGCGAGGAAUAUGUUGGUGACGAAUAUGAUGGGACAGAGGGACCAGCCGAGGAAUAUGUUGGUGACGAAUAUGGUAAUCACAUUUGAUCCUCGUAUGCGAUGCAUUUGGAUCAUAGACAUCCAUCCUUGUGUCUAUGGAGUGCCUAUAGAUGAGUUGCAUGGUCCCCAUGUGUAACUCCUCUGCAUUGAGAGAUUGUUAAAUUUUCAUAUGUUUUUAUGGUAAUUAAACUUUCGAAUCGGUGAUGUAUUUUGUAAACAAUGUAUUUUGUUGUUGUGAAUUUUAAGACUUAUGUAGUGUACGAUGUAAUAUAUCUUUUGUUGCAUAUGA